rnacentral:tRNA from 1 species
GGGCUGGGGCUCAGUGGUAGAGCAUUCACCUAGCAUGUGCAAGGCCCUGGGUUCAAGCCUCAGCACACCA